GACGGGGGGGGCAAGUGUUCUUCGGAAUGACUGGGCGUAAAGCGUGCGUAGACGGUUAGAUAAGUCGGAUGUGAAAGCCCCGGGCUCAACCUGGGAAUUGCAUUCGAGACUGCCUAGCUAGGAUGCGGAAGAGGGAAGCGGAAUUUCCGGUGUAGCGGUGAAAUGCGUAGAUAUCGGAAGGAACACCAGUGGCGAAAGCGGCUUCCUGGUCCAGCAUCGACGUUCAGGCACGAAAGCGUGGGGAGCAAACAGG
rnacentral:rRNA from 1 species